rnacentral:rRNA from 1 species
AUUGAACGCUGGCGGCAUGCCUUACACAUGCAAGUCGAACGGCAGCACGGGGGCAACCCUGGUGGCGAGUGGCGAACGGGUGAGUAAUGCAUCGGAACGUGCCCAGUAGUGGGGGAUAACCAGUCGAAAGACUGGCUAAUACCGCAUACGACCUAAGGGUGAAAGCGGGGGACCGUAAGGCCUCGCGCUAUUGGAGCGGCCGAUGUCUGAUUAGCUAGUUGGCGGGGUAAGAGCCCACCAAGGCGACGAGCAGUAGCUGGUCUGAGAGGACGACCAGCCACACUGGGACUGAGACACGGCCCAGACUCCUACGGGAGGCAGCAGUGGGGAAUUUUGGACAAUGGGCGCAAGCCUGAUCCAGCCAUGCCGCGUGCGGGAAGAAGGCCUUCGGGUUGUAAACCGCUUUUGGCAGGAACGAAACGGCGCAAGCCAAUACCUUGCGCUAAUGACGGUACCUGCAGAAUAAGCACCGGCUAACUACGUGCCAGCAGCCGCCGUAAUAC